GCCUCUUCUCCUUCUCUGGCUUCUGUAUCAAAGCCUGUACUUGAUGAUUCUUCAACACUUCGUUCUCUUUCCUUUAAGUAAGAAUGAAAGUUAGCCAUAGGGGAGUGGUCUCAAAAAUAAGUCACCUAAUAAAUCAGUAACAAAAGAUAGGAUAUGGGGUAGUUUUCCCUUCUUUUAUUGGCUUUACCGUUGUUGUCGUUUCGUGGAGUAAAGUUUCCAGUGUUGUUCACUCCAAUCUCAGUUCUCAUGCCCAUGUAGCAGUGUUGGGAAUAACGGAAUCCUGUACUGGUGCUUGUUCUGUGCGAUAAAAGUACUCCGCAGAAGCUGGAUAAGGUGAGGAAACAGUAGAAAGAAGCGGUAAAGUAAUAAUGAAGUGUUUGUUGCCAUAGGUAUGUAUAGGAAGGAACCUCAUUAGAGCGGGCAGGUAUACACUAAAAUCGAAUUUCUUGAACGGGGAAGAAAAGAGGAUAGUGACUCUCAUUGAAACUCAGCAACUUGCCAACGAAUGCAUUUGAACCAAACAUCUUAAGCCCGAGAUACUUUCCUGAUUGACCUGGACCGGAUUCUGUUUAUGAAUUACCUGCUCGGCAACUAAGCUCACUGCGCCUCUCUUAUCUUGUACUAAACCUUAGAUGCCAAUAAAGGUGUAUUGCCCUUGUAUACUAGUUGGGGCUCGGAAUAGCUUCUCUUAAAGAUAGAGAUGCAAUUGAAAGAUCUGAAACAAGAACUUGAAUAGCGGCUGGAGCUAGGCAUGAUGAUGGAUCUAGAC
rnacentral:lncRNA from 1 species